rnacentral:rRNA from 1 species
AGAUUAAGUUAUUAAGGGCGCACGGUGGAUGCCUUGGCACUAGAAGCCGAUGAAGGACGUUACUAACGACGAUAUGCUUUGGGGAGCUGUAAGUAAGCUUUGAUCCAGAGAUUUCCGAAUGGGGAAACCCAGCAUGAGUUAUGUCAUGUUAUCGAUAUGUGAAUACAUAGCAUAUCAGAAGGCACACCCGGAGAACUGAAACAUCUUAGUACCCGGAGGAAGAGAAAGAAAAUUCGAUUCCCUUAGUAGCGGCGAGCGAAACGGGAAGAGCCCAAACCAACAAGCUUGCUUGUUGGGGUUGUAGGACACUCUAUACGGAGUUACAAAGGACGACAUUAGACGAAUCAUCUGGAAAGAUGAAUCAAAGAAGGUAAUAAUCCUGUAGUCGAAAAUGUUGUCUCUCUUGAGUGGAUCCUGAGUACGACGGAGCACGUGAAAUUCCGUCGGAAUCUGGGAGGACCAUCUCCUAAGGCUAAAUACUCUCUAGUGACCGAUAGUGAACCAGUACCGUGAGGGAAAGGUGAAAAGCACCCCGGAAGGGGAGUGAAAUAGAACCUGAAACCGUGUGCUUACAAGUAGUCAGAGCCCGUUAAUGGGUGAUGGCGUGCCUUUUGUAGAAUGAACCGGCGAGUUACGAUUUGAUGCAAGGUUAAGCAGUAAAUGUGGAGCCGUAGCGAAAGCGAGUCUGAAUAGGGCGUUUAGUAUUUGGUCGUAGACCCGAAACCAGGUGAUCUACCCUUGGUCAGGUUGAAGUUCAGGUAACACUGAAUGGAGGACCGAACCGACUUACGUUGAAAAGUGAGCGGAUGAACUGAGGGUAGCGGAGAAAUUCCAAUCGAACCUGGAGAUAGCUGGUUCUCUCCGAAAUAGCUUUAGGGCUAGCCUCAAGUGAUGAUUAUUGGAGGUAGAGCACUGUUUGGACGAGGGGCCCCUCUCGGGUUACCGAAUUCAGACAAACUCCGAAUGCCAAUUAAUUUAACUUGGGAGUCAGAACAUGGGUGAUAAGGUCCGUGUUCGAAAGGGAAACAGCCCAGACCACCAGCUAAGGUCCCAAAAUAUAUGUUAAGUGGAAAAGGAUGUGGCGUUGCCCAGACAACUAGGAUGUUGGCUUAGAAGCAGCCAUCAUUUAAAGAGUGCGUAAUAGCUCACUAGUCGAGUGACACUGCGCCGAAAAUGUACCGGGGCUAAACAUAUUACCGAAGCUGUGGAUUGUCCUUUGGACAAUGGUAGGAGAGCGUUCUAAGGGCGUUGAAUCAUGAUCGUAAGGACAUGUGGAGCGCUUAGAAGUGAGAAUGCCGGUGUGAGUAGCGAAAGACGGGUGAGAAUCCCGUCCACCGAUUGACUAAGGUUUCCAGAGGAAGGCUCGUCCGCUCUGGGUUAGUCGGGUCCUAAGCUGAGGCCGACAGGCGUAGGCGAUGGAUAACAGGUUGAUAUUCCUGUACCACCUAUAAUCGUUUUAAUCGAUGGGGGGACGCAGUAGGAUAGGCGAAGCGUGCGAUUGGAUUGCACGUCUAAGCAGUAAGGCUGAGUAUUAGGCAAAUCCGGUACUCGUUAAGGCUGAGCUGUGAUGGGGAGAAGACAUUGUGUCUUCGAGUCGUUGAUUUCACACUGCCGAGAAAAGCCUCUAGAUAGAAAAUAGGUGCCCGUACCGCAAACCGACACAGGUAGUCAAGAUGAGAAUUCUAAGGUGAGCGAGCGAACUCUCGUUAAGGAACUCGGCAAAAUGACCCCGUAACUUCGGGAGAAGGGGUGCUCUUUAGGGUUAACGCCCAGAAGAGCCGCAGUGAAUAGGCCCAAGCGACUGUUUAUCAAAAACACAGGUCUCUGCUAAACCGUAAGGUGAUGUAUAGGGGCUGACGCCUGCCCGGUGCUGGAAGGUUAAGAGGAGUGGUUAGCUUCUGCGAAGCUACGAAUCGAAGCCCCAGUAAACGGCGGCCGUAACUAUAACGGUCCUAAGGUAGCGAAAUUCCUUGUCGGGUAAGUUCCGACCCGCACGAAAGGCGUAACGAUUUGGGCACUGUCUCAACGAGAGACUCGGUGAAAUCAUAGUACCUGUGAAGAUGCAGGUUACCCGCGACAGGACGGAAAGACCCCGUGGAGCUUUACUGUAGCCUGAUAUUGAAAUUCGGCACAGCUUGUACAGGAUAGGUAGGAGCCUUUGAAACGUGAGCGCUAGCUUACGUGGAGGCGCUGGUGGGAUACUACCCUAGCUGUGUUGGCUUUCUAACCCGCACCACUUAUCGUGGUGGGAGACAGUGUCAGGCGGGCAGUUUGACUGGGGCGGUCGCCUCCUAAAAGGUAACGGAGGCGCUCAAAGGUUCCCUCAGAAUGGUUGGAAAUCAUUCAUAGAGUGUAAAGGCAUAAGGGAGCUUGACUGCGAGACCUACAAGUCGAGCAGGGUCGAAAGACGGACUUAGUGAUCCGGUGGUUCCGCAUGGAAGGGCCAUCGCUCAACGGAUAAAAGCUACCCCGGGGAUAACAGGCUUAUCUCCCCCAAGAGUUCACAUCGACGGGGAGGUUUGGCACCUCGAUGUCGGCUCAUCGCAUCCUGGGGCUGUAGUCGGUCCCAAGGGUUGGGCUGUUCGCCCAUUAAAGCGGUACGCGAGCUGGGUUCAGAACGUCGUGAGACAGUUCGGUCCCUAUCCGUCGUGGGCGUAGGAAAUUUGAGAGGAGCUGUCCUUAGUACGAGAGGACCGGGAUGGACAUACCUCUGGUGUACCAGUUGUCGUGCCAACGGCAUAGCUGGGUAGCUAUGUGUGGACGGGAUAAGUGCUGAAAGCAUCUAAGCAUGAAGCCCCCCUCAAGAUGAGAUUUCCCAACUUCGGUUAUAAGAUCCCUCAAAGAUGAUGAGGUUAAUAGGUUCGAGGUGGAAGCAUGGUGACAUGUGGAGCUGACGAAUACUAAUCGAUCGAAGACUUAAUCAAAUU